UGGACCACUCAGUAUACCCUUUUUAGAUGUUGAAACAGAAGGAACAAAGGUGUAUAGACAAAAGAAUUUAUGUUCUUCAGAACAGUUUUUGAUUUGUUGUUGAUAGGAGCAACUGACGUGUGACGUAGUUGGAUCAUUGAAUCAUAUAUUUUAUAAAAUUACAUGACAUAAAUUUGCUGAACUAAUGCUGAACUAUGUUCGAGCAACAAGGUCCGGAAAAGCUGAAACUCCAAAGCGUUUCCCACCCUUCACAUAGUUCCCAAGAUUCUGGUAAGAAUAAUCGAGGCUGAUACUUCAAAAUUACAAGAAAAGAAAGAAGUACAAAUAGGAUGCUCGAUCAAUUAAUCAAUAAUAUCAGCAAAGAAAACUUGGAUUCGAGUCUUGAUAAUGAUCAUUCUGAAGAAUCCCUUUUACCUGAGGCUAUAGAAGUUGAGCAUUCAUCAGAAAAAAUAUACAAAAACGUGCUAGUUUAGGCUAAUUUUUAGGGGGAAGAAUAUCUUAAUUGGAAGAAGGAGAAGAAAAAAAUACUUUUGAAAAUAAGUAGAUUGAAGAGAAAAAGUGUUAUUUCUCUUCAAAAGAAAAGUUGGUACCCGAAGGUAUCAAAGAGACAGGAAUCACAAGUCUUAAAAUAUAAGUUCCAGCAGCGAUUUUCAUCAAUCCAAGUGAAUGUGUUAAUAACACAUAGAUAAAUGGAAGGCCAAAAAACUGGACUGAAGAAGACAUUCCUAGUUCUCUGAUUUUGAGGUCAAUGGCUAGAGGAAAUGCAUAUAAUUAUCUUCAGAAGAAACUUCGCCUCCCCUUGCCAGCUUUAUCAACUUUGAGAAAAUGGAUAUCAAAAUUUAAAUAUGCCUCUGGGAUUCAGCAUAAACUUUUAGAUAUUUUGAGGGGAAAAAAUGAAGGCUAAACGCAUGUAGAAUUACAUUGCAAAUGCAGUAUUGGUAUAAAUAUUUAACAGUAAAUAUUUUAAUUGUUUUCUCUUGCAGAACUAAAGAAUGAUCAGUUUAAGUAUCUAGGAAUGUUGGCUUCAAAUGGAUUUAAAAAGGAGUUACGAUUACUCUCCUUCCUAUAAUCAAGUCUUUGGACCAAAAAAGAAGAUUCGGGUUGCAAUGAUACGUGGACUUUGUGAAUCCUAGAAAAUGCCUGUUUACUUUGAUUUCGACACUGCCAUGUGUAUUGAAAAUCUAUUCAAUAUCAUCAAAGAAAUAGAAAAGAGAAGAAUUUGAGUAGAGGCUAUGGUCUCCGAUAUGGGUCCAUCAAAUGUGGGACUGCGUGGCACAUUAGGAAUCACUGAGGAUUGAUUCUCUAUAUAUUUUGAAUCCAUUGGACACAUCAAAGAAGAUUGACGUCCUUCAUGAUGCGCUUCAUCUAAUUAAACUCCUGAGAAAUCAUCGUUUGGAAAAAGGGUACCAUUUACCUGACGGACCCCAAAUCACAAAGAAUGAUUUUAUAGAAUUGAUAGUAAGAGAUUGUCAAGAGCUAAAACUCGUACACAAGAUCAAAGAUAUCCAACUGGAAUGUUAUAGUAGUCAAAGACAGCGCGUUGCAUUUUUGUCUGGACACACAAUUGUUAACCCACUCAACACCCUCAGCAUUUAAAUAUCAUUUUCUAGGAAAUAAAGUUACAAGCUGAGUUUAUUAAAACUGUAGAUUCCUAGUUUGAUGUCUUCAAUAGUAGGAAACCCAUUGAUGUUAAAACAAAUUCUUGUAAAUUAGGCAUCCAUUAGGAUGAACAAAAAGAGGUCCUGGAUAAGAUGAAGCAAACAAUAAAAAAUAUCCGGGGAAUUGGUAAAGAAAAAUCCCUUUUAUCUUUCUAGCUUGGUAUUUUGAUUUCUAUAUCAUCUUUGGAAAUAUUAUUCGAAGAUUUGAGGGAAUGAUCUGGAAUGAAAUACAUCCUUACUUCACGGUUUAAUCAGGAUUGCUUGGAAAACUUUUUCUCGCAUUUGAGGGUCAUUGGAGUCUCCAAUGAUCAUCUAACUAGUGUUGAUUCUUCCUUUUCUUCCUUGGACUGGGGUAUUCAAGGACUUGGUUACAUAGCAGGAUACCUGGAUAAAAAGUUUGAAGUCAAAUACCCUGAAUAUGGACACGAGAUCAUCCUUUUUGUAAUGCAAAUUUAACACCAUGAAUAUUAAAGAAUAGUCUAAAUGUGCAAAAAAACAAAUAAAUUGGCCGAAAAUUAAAGAAAUUAUCAAUUUAUGUAACAUUACUUUCCAUAAAUUAUAUUAAACUUCUUAUAAUUGGUUAAUAAUAAAUUUACUUAAUUUUA
rnacentral:lncRNA from 1 species